CACACACAACCAGCAGCAACACCCUGCCCAUACCCUCAUUUAGCAGAGUGGAUAAUGGCAAUUACUCCUGUGCUGUAAGAGGACAUGAGGCUCACCCAUCACCACCUCUGUGUCUGAGUGGCUGGAGUGUGACCUACACCCCACAGAGCAUCUGUGCAUUGAAGGGCUCCUCAGUGGAACUCCACAGCUAUUACACAUACCCUUGUGAUCAUACAGUCUCAAAGGCUUUCUGGUUUACCACAUCUGGCACAGGAAAUGAGGAUCUGAGAGAAGAUGUACACUAUCAGGGUCGUGUGAAUUAUACUGAAAAUAACAACAGUAGCCACACUCUGAGCAUAAGAAACCUGACCCUUGCUGAUGCAAAAACAUACACCUUCAGUUUUGUAACUGACAAAGAGGGAGGAAAGUAUUCUGGUGGAAAUGUUGAACUCACAGUUACAGGAUUGCAAGUGCUGGUUAAUAAUCUAACAGUGAAGGAGGGAGACAAUGUGACACUGACCUGCAAC